rnacentral:piRNA from 1 species
UUGUUUUUCCUAAGGAAGUAAUUGAGCC